rnacentral:sRNA from 1 species
GAAAGCUAUUUACAGCUUCUAAGCAAUUUUCUCUUGGUUUUAGUCUCUUCUAAGAGAAAAUGGGUAUAAGCGUUGUCUAAACACUCCUAAUCUAUCUCUAACUCAUAGAAUUAGUCAAAUGCUUAGGAUUGUGAUAAAAUUUGACCAUAGAAACAAUAACAAAGCUAUUUAGUGUUUUUAAGCAAUUUUUUGUUGGUUUUAGACUCUAUUGGGAGAAAAUAGGUAUGAGUAUUGUCUAAACACUCCUAAUCCAUCUUUAACUCUUCUAAGUAGUCAAAUGCAAUGGAUUCUGACACAUUUUAACCAUAGAAACACUAACGAAGAUAUUGACUACCUCUAAGCAAUUUUUUGUUGGUUUUAGCAUCUUCUGGGAGAAAAUGGGUAUAAGUGUUGUCUAAACACACCUUAUCCAUCUCUAACUCUUAUAAUUAGUCAAAUGCAUUGGAUUGUAACCCAUUUUGACCAAAGAAACACUAACAAAACUAUUGACUGCUUCUAAGCAAUUUUUUGUUGGUUUUAGCCUCUUUUGGGAGAAAAUAGGUAUAAAUGUUGUCUAAACACUCCUAAUAAAUCUUUAACUCUUUUAAUUAGUCAAAUGCAUUGGAUUCUUUCA